GAAAAAUAAAAUCAUAAAUAAUUAAUCCAUCACCGUCUCACACGAAUGGGUUUCCUUCCCGUCGUCGGAAUUAACUCGCCGGCGGUACCGCAACAAGUACCUUUCAUCACCCGUAAAAACCACGCCAAUCAAAAGAUCCAGAAACUUAAUCAAUCUACCUCCGAAAACAUUGUUUCAUGGACUUCUCGCAUCACCCUCCUCACACGCAAUGGUCGGUUAGCGGAGGCAGCGAAGGAAUUCACCGAUAUGAGAGUCGCCGGCGUAGAGCCUAACCACAUCACUUUUAUCGCUCUACUCUCUGGUUGUGGUGAUAUUCACUCCGGAAGUGAAGCCUUGGGCGAUUUGCUUCAUGGGUAUGCUUGUAAACUUGGUCUCGAUAGAACCCAUGUCAUGGUUGGCACCGCAGUUCUCGGCAUGUACUCAAAACGCGGUCGUGUUAAGAAGGCUAGAUUGGUUUUCGAUUACAUGGUUGAUAAAAAUUCGGUUACUUGGAAUACAAUGAUCGAUGGGUACAUGAGGAGUGGUCAAGUCGAUAACGCUGUUAAGGUGUUCGACGAAAUGCCUGAACGAUACUUGAUUUCUUGGACAGCUAUGAUAAAUGGGUUUGUUAAGAAAGGCUUUCACGAGGAAGCUUUGGUAUGGUUCCGUGAGAUGCAGAUUUCAGGAGUCAAACCAGAUUACGUUGCUAUUAUUGCUACUCUUAAUGCUUGCACGAACCUAGGUGCUCUUUCGUUUGGAUUAUGGGUACAUCGUUAUGUGAUGAGUCAGGAUUUCAAGAACAAUGUCAGGGUGAGUAAUUCACUGAUUGAUUUGUAUUGUCGAUGCGGGUGUGUUAAGUUUGCUCGUGAAGUUUUUGCCAAGAUGGAGAAACGAACUGUAGUUUCGUGGAAUUCAGUCAUUGUUGGUUUUGCUGCUAAUGAAAACGCGCAUGAAUCUUUAGUCUACUUCAGGACAAUGCAAGAUGAAGGGUUUAAACCUGACGCAGUCACUUUCACCGGUGCACUUACGGCUUGUAGCCAUGUAGGUCUAGUUGAGGAAGGUCUUCGAUAUUUCCAAACGAUGAAAAGGGAUUACAGAAUCUUGCCUCGGAUUGAGCAUUAUGGAUGUUUAGUGGAUUUGUAUAGUCGGGCUGGGAGAUUGGAAGACGCUUUGAAAGUGGUAGAGAGCAUGCCGAUGAAGCCAAAUGAAGUUGUGAUUGGGUCGUUACUUGCAGCCUGCAGGACUCAUGGGAACAAUACCGUCUUAGCAGAGAGGCUGAUGAAGCAUAUUAGUGACAUGAAUGUGAAAAGCCAUUCAAAUUAUGUGAUUCUCUCGAAUAUGUAUGCGGCUGAUGGAAAAUGGGAAGGAGCUAGUCAGAUGAGGAGGAAGAUGAAGGGUCUCGGCUUAAAGAAGCAGCCGGGGUUUAGUUCCAUAGAGAUUGAUGAUUGCACACAUGUCUUCAUGGCUGGUGACAGUGCCCAUGUUGAGACCGCUUAUAUCCGCGAAGUCCUCGAGCUUGUUUCUUCUGAUUUGCGAUUACAGGGCUGUGUUGUUGAAACCCUUGCUGGUGAUCACCUCAGUGACAAUGUACCUCAUACAUAUUUUCCAUCUGAUCAAUUAUUUAGAUGAGUUUUCAACUUUUUGUUAAACAUGUUCUUGUAUUUUACCCCUACCAGACAACUUUGUUCUGGUUAUGAGACCCAGACCUCCUGAGUCAUCAACUUGCUGAAGACUUGGGUAAAGCUUUCACAGAGAAGGGAGGCCAAACUAGCUAUACUGGCUCAGUAAAGGAUGUGUUGGGU